UCUAUCGUCUAUUUGCGCCAGCGGUUUUUUCGAGUUUUGGGUUUUGCCACUGAAGUUUGUAUUCUUUGAUUUCCACCCCCAGCACAUAUCAGUUGCUAUCAAUUUACUAAACUUUGGCUUCUUCAUACGACUUUUGAUCACACAGGUCGUAGAGAGAGAAUCUAGACAGAGGAAGGGUGAGAGGUGGUUGGCACGGUGGACCACCGACGGAGGGAGGCGGCUUACAACGCUGAAGACGGUCGUCAUCGUUUUCCUCGGUCACUUGAAACCAGAUCCGCCAGCUGUGGCUUCUAGAACAAAGGCGUCAUACCGGCGACAACAGCUUCGAACGGAGAUAGCGAUUCUUUGUCAAGGAAAGACAGCACGGCCCGGGACCUGGUUGUGCGGUCGGUAUGUCAAGGAAUGGGCGGAUUGGCUUUCUGACGAACUCGGCUAGGGUUCCGGUAAUUCAAUUCAGGAUGACUUAUUUGAUGCAAUUGAAGAGCUCCAGCUUCACAAGAGGAGGAUAAAAGGUGUAUUAUGGCUACUCUUUGGACGUUAUGGAAUCAGAGAAAUAACAACAUAUGCAGGCGAGAAAAACAACUAGCUGGAGACAACAGAGGGAUGCCCCGAUGGGUAUCCCAAUCGAUAACCAGCAAGAGAAGAUGGAGACAAAUGUUAAGGUAAAGGAGAAAUUUAAUUUGAGAAGUAACUUUCCUCUGGUUAAAGCACUAGGCUAAACUGGAGUUUGUUAGUAUAGAUAAUGUUUUCUUAUGGAGUGAAUGUAAUAUUAAUGUAAAUUUUGGGGUAAUGGCUUCCUUCUAGCUCCUGGUUAAUUUUAGGAGAUCCAUGUUUUUUUUUGGUGACUAAUAAAGUUGUUUCCCUUCCCUGUUUCAAAAAAGAAACAAGAUUGUCAUUACUAAUCAAUGCAUUAUUAAUUUUUUUUCA